rnacentral:lncRNA from 1 species
CUGACUAAUCUUAAUGUGUGAGUCUCUUCUCCCCCUUAUUUUUGUUUGAGUUUCAAAGAAGAAUACAACUAGGCUAAACCAACGGUUUCACUGCCCUAUCAGCGGGUCUUACUACCUGGACCACCCAGCUAUUCAGCAUCUUCUUACAAAACAAGCCAACACUCAGGGUUAUGGGUUGAAUCAAAAGCAAGAUAAGUAAAGAAAAGAUUUUAAAGUAGUAACUUAAAGUUCA